rnacentral:rRNA from 1 species
AUUGAACGCUGGCGGCAUGCCUUACACAUGCAAGUCGAACGCGAAAGCGGGGCAACCCGCAAGUAGAGUGGCGAACGGGUGAGUAAUGCAUCGGAACGUGUCCAGUAGCGGGGGAUAACCUGUCGAAAGAUAGGCUAAUACCGCAUACGCCCUGAGGGGGAAAGCGGGGGUCGCAAGACCUCGCACUAUUGGAGCGGCCGAUGUCGGAUUAGCUAGUUGGCGGGGUAACGGCCCACCAAGGCGACGAUCCGUAGCUGGUCUGAGAGGACGACCAGCCACACUGGAACUGAGACACGGUCCAGACUCCUACGGGAGGCAG